rnacentral:rRNA from 1 species
UACGUAGGGUGCAAGCGUUGUCCGGAAUUAUUGGGCGUAAAGAGCUCGUAGGCGGUUUGUCGCGUUGUUCGUGAAAACUUACAGCUCAACUGUGGGCGUGCGGGCGAUACGGGCAGACUUGAGUACUGCAGGGGAGACUGGAAUUCCUGGUGUAGCGGUGGAAUGCGCAGAUAUCAGGAGGAACACCGGUGGCGAAGGCGGGUCUCUGGGCAGUAACUGACGCUGAGGAGCGAAAGCAUGGGGAGCGAACAGG